AAUGGAUUACCAGCUUUGGCGGAAAUUGCAACAGAUGGCGCUAGUGAGCAGGAGUUUUUCAAUUUGAAAAUUAUGACGUCACAAAUAUACAUGGAGUUAUGUUUACUUACCCAUCUGUCAAAAUGCAAACAAAAAAAAGAAGCAAAAUUGGGAACGGAGGAACGGAAAAGUGAAAAACAGAUUUGGUGAGAAAAACGGUGCGUUCCGGAACACCGGUCUUCGUCGGCCGCGGAGAAACUACUACUGGAGUUACAAUUUUCAAUAGAAAAACGAAGGAUUUUAAGAUUACACCUGUUCGAGCUGGGAGUGUUCCUUGGACCGUUGAUGGAGGUCAAACGUUCGUUGGAAACCACCCGAGCCUGACCUGACGGGCUGAUUGAUAGUUGGAGCGCAUUGCAGUUGCGGUUCCCUAUGGACGGAGCAAACUUCCUACGGCGAAAAAACACACAGCAGCGAGGUAGGUAGGAAUAGGGAAAGGAAAGUGGGGCAAAAAUAGGCUACCGAAGGAAUAGAUCCCGACAACUCUCUGAUCACAAAUCAAAUUAUUCUGUAUUUUUACACGGCUUUUAUAGACACUAAUCAGUUUAUGACAUGAAGAUUGGAAAAUCUACCAAUUUGUCACCUGUUUCUCCAAGGAUUCGCACAGGAGUUCUUUGUGGCAUUCCUUUGGGGGUUUCUUCAGGAGUUGGUUCGGAGAUUCCUGCAGGGUUUAUUCAGGAAUUCCGCUAGUUCAGUCAGGAAUCCUUCCAGGAGUUCUUUGGGGAAAGAAAGAGUGGCGUCAUGUUCCAAUUUUGACUGCUCUCAUGCUCGUUUGGAACGAGAGUUUGUAUGGAUUUGACAUUCUACUUUCGAGGAUUUCUUCUAUGAUUCCUUCUGAGAUACCAUCUGGAGUUGUUUCAGGAAUUCGUUCUGCACUUCCUACAGGAAUUUCUUCAGGAGUUCUUUCAGCGAUUCCAUCAGGAGUUCUAUCUGGGGUACCUUCGGAGUUCCAUCAGAGAAUCCUCCUGGAAUCUCUUCAUUUAAUUAUGCAGACAUUUCUGAAGUUAUUCGUCCAAGAGUUUCUUCAGGAAUCCUUCCAUGUGUUCCUCCAGGGAUUCCUCCAAUAAUUUAUUUAGCGAUUCUUCCAGGAGUUCCUUCAGAGAUUCCCCCAGGAUUUCAUUAAUGCAUUCCUCCAGAGUUUCAUUCAUAGAUUCUUUUAGAAGCUCCUUCAGUAAAUCCAGGAGUACCUUCAGAGAUCAUUUAAAAGAUUACUUCUGAAGUACCUACAAGGAAUCGCCUAGGAGUUCUUACUGGAUUUUUUCGGGGAUUCCAUCAGGGUCCCUAUAAAUAUUUCCUUCUGAGAUUUCUUCUAGGAGUUCUUUCAAAGAUUCCUACAGGAUCUUCCCAGUGGCAAUUCCCUAACCUCAAAACUACCUGUUUAACGAAUGCAAAUUCUUGAUUUCUCACAAUAAAUUGGCUUGUUAUUUGUAGAAAACGGCGAUAAUAGGCGUUUCCGCCCAUUUCAAUUUGAUUCUGAUCCUCAAUUCUCCACAAAUGCAACUUUUAGGGGUCGUUGAACAGGUAAAAAGUGAGGUUACGAGACGCCACUGGUUCUUGCAGGAGUCUUCAGGGAUUCAUCCUGCAGUUUAUUCAGGGAUUUCUCCAGGAUUUUUUUUGGGAUUCCUUUAGUAGUUCAUUCAAUAUUUCAUCUAGGAGUUCGUUCAGGGGUUCUUACUGGGACUCCUCCAGUAGUUUUUUCAGGGAGUCUUUCAGAGCAUUCUCCUGCGGUUCCUUCAUGGCUUUUUCAAUAUUUUUUUUUGGGUUCCUCCAGGAUUCCUUCUAGAGUUAUUCUACCAGGAGUAGUUUUAGGGAUUUUUCCAGAAGUUUCUUUAGAAUUUUUUUCAGGCGUUUUUAAGAUUACUCCAAGAGUUCCUUCAAGACUUCACCCAGAGUUUCUUCAGCGAAUCCUGGAGUUUUUUUUAUGGAUUCCUUAAUGAUUUGCCUCAAGAUUUCACCUAGGAGAUCGUCCUAAAUUAUGUCAGGCAAAAAAUUGUCAUUUUCAACCACUUUCCCACCUAUGUCACACUUUUUGUAUGAGACCUCUAAAAAUUUCUUCUAAGGGUUCUUCCAGAAGUUCCUAUAGAGAUUACUCUAGGAAAUCCUUCAACUUUUCAUCCAAAAAUUUUCUCAGGGAUUUCCAAAGUUCCUUCUGGGAUUUCUCAAGGAGCUCCAUUAGGGAUCCGUCCAGAGAAUCUUACAGGAGUUUCUUCAGUUGUUUACCCAGGAGGUCCAUCAAAUUUCAAUCUUGGAGUUCCUUCAGGGAUUCCCCCAGUAGCUUUUCCGAGGAUUUCUCCAGGAGAUUCUUCAGUGAUUUCUUCUGGAGUGGGUUCAGAAACUGUUUCAGGGAUUCGUUUAUGGUUUUUUCAGGGAUUCCUUCAGGAGUUCUUUCAGCGAAUUCUUCUGGAUUUUAUACAGGGCUUCGUCCAGAAGUUCUUUCAAUGGUUCCUUCUGGAAUCCCUCCAGGAGUUCCUUCAGAGAUUUCUCCUUAGUUCCUUCAUGAAUUAUUGCAGACAUUUUUCAAGGGACACGUCCGGGAGUUUCUUAUGGCCGGGAUUCUUGCUGGAAUUCCUAAAAGAAUUUCUCCAGGUUUUCUUUGUUUCAGGGAUAUCGUCAGAAGUUGUAUCAGGGGUCUUCCUGGAGUUCCUUCAGGGAUUCGUCCAGAAGUUCCUUCAGAGAUUAACCUAGGAGUUCAUUCAGAAAUUCCUUCAGCAGUUUCUUCAAGGUUUAAUCCAGAGAUUUUCCAAGGGGUUUCAUUUGGAUCCUAAAGGAGUCCUUUCAGGGAAUCCUGGAGUUUAUCCAUGGAAUAUUACAAUACCUAUUUCCUUUAAGGAUUCAUCUAGAAGUUCCUUCAAUGAAUCCUCCUGGAGUUCUUACAGAGUUUCUUCAAGGUUUAAUCCAAGAGAUUUUUCGUUAAUUUCCAAAGACUUUCAUUAUGGAUCCUUCCUGGAGUGGAGGGAUUCCUCCAGUAGAUCCUUCAGGGGCUCACCGUGGGUUUGCUUCAGGAAUUUUUGGAUAGUUUAAUCCUUCAGUUCCUUCCGCGAUUUCUCCAGUAGUCCCAUCAGCGAUCUUUGCAGGAGUUCCUGAAGGGAUUCAUCUAGGAGUUCUUCAAGGAAUUUCUCCAGCAGUUCUUUGAGGGAUUUCUUCUGGUGUUUCUUCAGAGAUUUCUUCAACAGUUCUUUUAGCGAUUCCUUCUGGAUUUCCUACAGGGCUCCAUCCAAGAAUCCUUUCAAAGAUUUCUUCAGGAGUUCCAUAUGGGGGUUUUCCUGGGUUCCUCCAUGGAUUUUUGCAGAAAAUUCUUAAGGGCUUCGUCCAGGAGUUCAUUCUGGUAUUCUUCCAGGAAUACUUUCAGGAGUUUCUGCAGUUUCUUCAUGGAUUCAUUCAGGAGUUCUUUCAGCGAUUCCUACUGGAUUUCAUACAUGGCUUUGUCCGGGAAUUCUCUUGAAGGUUUCUUCUAGAGUUCCUCCAAGAGUUUCUUGAAUGUAUCCAGGAGUUCCUUCAGGAAUUCCUACAGGAGUUCCUCCAUGUGUUCUUUGAGCAUUUUUUUACUAUCGUAAAAUUGGGCCGAAGGGUUUCAGAUUUUCAUGAAAAUUUUUCCACAGGCUGGGCUCAUGAAUAUAUGAACAAAAAAAAUUGAGAAAAAUUCAGGGUCGCCUAUUUACCCGGAAAACUCAGGUGGAAAUUCUUUGUUUUCCCCUGACACUACUUACUUUGAAAAAUCACAACUCAAGAACGAUGCAUCAUAGAAACAAAGUAUUUUUUUAGAAAAUAAAAGCAAAUUUUCUCAGAAAUCCAAAAACCUAUAAAGUGGAAAAAGUUUUCCACAAAAUUUUCCACAGUUGAGAAAACUCGUAAAGAAGAACCGAAAAAACAAUACCCAAACUCGCGGAAAAUUUUCAAUAAAAAAAUUUCUGGGAAGUUUUUUUCAUAAGCUUUAAUCGCUGAAAUUUUUGGAAUGCACUUUUUUCGGUAUGGUUAAGGCUCAAGCAUUCGUCAUCAUAUUUUGGUAAUAGAAAAGCAGUUUUUUCGUUGUAAAUCAAAACAAUGACCACGAAAAUGUAUUCAUUGCAUUACAUUCCUCAUGUGAAACGCAGUGAAUCCAUUUUCGCUGCCAGAAUGUUUGAUUUGAACGAAAAAACUGCUUUCAAAUGUUUGAUGAUGACGAUGAUUUCAAUGACGAAUGGUUCAACGUUAAUUUUGUUGAAAAAUGUCCAAAUGUAUCAUAUAUAAGCCUUUUCUUUGAAAAAUCAUAACUCAAGAAUGAAGCAUCAUAGAAACAAAGUUUUUUAAUGAAAAUGAAAGCAAAUUUUCUCAGGAAUAAAAAAAAUAUGAAGUAAAAAAGUUUUCCACAACAUUUUCUACCGUUGAGAAAAUUCAAAAAGAAAAGCCGGAAAAAGUAUUCCCGAACCCGCGGAAAUUUUUUUUUUUCAUAAGCUCAGCGAUCAAAAUUUUUGGAAUGAACUUUUUUUUUUCUUUCUCAAGUUAUGGUAAAUUUUGUGAAAAAUAACCAUAUGGUAAUUUUUCACAUAAUAAGAUCCUAAAAUGAAAAAUAUUAUUUCGGUUUUGCUGCAUAACAGGAAGGAGCAUGCUUUUCUGAUCUCAAUGGUAUUUUUCCCGAACUUAAACAGUGACAGAAUAGUCAAUAGACUCGAAAGUAAAAUAAUGAUGAGCAGGUCUUGUUUGACAUUGAGUGCUAAACAAGGAGUGUUGCAAAAAAUUUAAAAUUUUUUGAAAAUAUAUUUUAUGGGCUUUACCUAAUAGAAAUACUUAAAAAAUGAGUAAACAUGUCGUUUUAAUCAAUGCUUGAUCUACUUAUGCAAAAAUUGAGAUAGGCUUUUAGGAGCCUAUUGGCCAUAACUCAAGAACGAAAACCAAGUGCAUUCCGAAAAUUUCAGCCUUGAUUUCAGCUUAUGAAAAUACCUUCUCAAAAAUAUUUUUUUUGAAAAUUUCCCGCGAUGUUCGGACAUAUUUUUUUCGGCUUUUCUUUAUGAAUUUCCUCAACGGUGGAAAAUUUCGUGGAAACCUUUUUCCUUUUUAUAUAUUUUUUUGAUUCCUGAGAAAAUUUGCUUUCAUUUUCUAAAAAAAAACUUUGUUUCUACGAUGCUUCGUUCUUGAGUUAUGAUUUUUCAAAGAAAAGGCUUAUAUGAUACAUUUGGACAUUUUUGAACAAAAUUGGCCAUAAUUCAAAAACGAUAAAAAAGUGCAUUCCAAAAAUAUCAGCGAUUAAAGUUUAUGGAAUAACCUUCUCAAUUUUUUUUAAAUAUUUUUUUACGAGUUCGGGUCGGGCAUUGUUUUUCCGGAUUUUCUUUACAAAUUUUCUCAACUGUGGAAAAUUUUGUGGAAAACUUUUUCCAGUUCAUAUUUUUUUGGACUUCUGAGAAAAUUUAUUUUCAUUUUCUACAAAAAAAACUGAUUCAAUGAUCUAUGAUGCUUCGUUCUUGAGUUAUGACUUUUCAAAGUAAGUAGUGUCAGGGGAAAACAACGAAUUUCCACCUGAGUUUUCCGGGAAAAUUGGCGACCCUGAAUUUUUCUGAUUUUUUUUGUUCAUAUAUCUAUGAGCCCUGCCUGUGGAAAAAGUUUCAUGAAAAUCUGGGACCCUUCGGCCCAAUCCCGUACGGUAAUAAAAAAAAUGCGCCUUUGUUUUAAGGAUAUCUUCAGAAGUUGCAUCAGAAAUCCUCCCACGAGUUCCUUCUCGGAUUCCUCCAGGAGACCUUUCUGGGAUUCCUCCAGGAGACCUUUCUGGGAUUCCUCCAGGAGACCCUUCUGGAAUUUACCCAAGAGUUCCUUCAGAGAUUACUUCAGGGGUUUCUACAAGGUUUAAUCCAGUAGUUCCUUCAGAGAUUUAUCAAGGAGUUCCUUGGAGGAGAUCCUUGCAGGAGUCCCUUCAUGGAAUUCCUGCAAUGAUUCCUCCUGGAGUUCCUUCAGGGAUUCCUCCAGAAGUCCCAUAAGGGAUCUUCAGGAAUUCUUCUAGGAGUUCUUUUGUGUAUUUCUUCAGGAGUUCCUUCAGGAACUUCUUCUGGAGUUCUUUCAGGGAUUCCUUCAGUAGUUCUUUUAGCGAUUCCUUCUAGAUUUCCUACAGGGCUCCCCCGCAUGUCCGGAGUGUGCAGACUGCGACGAGACCGCGGAGCAUGUGCUCUUCGAAUGUCCACGUUUCGUGGAGCAAAGGUCGAGUAUGCAGGAGGUAUGCGGUAGAGAUAUCACGCCUGACAACAUUGUUGAAAGGAUGUGUAUGGGGGCGGACAAGUGGGACUCCGUUACUUCCACGGUUUCUCGAAUCGUACUUGAACUACAGAGUAAAUGGCGAGCCGAACAACAGCUUGUUGAGUUGGCCCCCCUUCCCCAUCCAGGAGCUUGAGUUCAAUGGGUAGUCUAAGUACUAGCCAGGACCCGAGCCUCCAGGGGAGAGUGAACAACUUAAGGCGGUAGCUGGUGGAACGCUUACUAUUAGAGUGUACUCAUGUACGGUCCCCCCUUCUCGAAGUCAUCCCUAACGGGCGUACCGCGAAGGUAAGGAAGAGAGAGAAUGAGUUUUUAGUGGGUCGAUCCCCACAUCACCCGAGGAACCAGGGCUUCGUCAAGGAGUCCUUUUUAAAAUUCCUUCAGGAGUUCCAUCAGGGGUUCCUCCUGGAUUUCAUGAAUGGAUUUUUGCAAAAAAUGAUAACGAUUUCGUCCAGGAGUACAUUCAUUCUUGCAUGGAUUCCUUCAGGAGUUUGUUGUUUCUCCAGAGAUUCCUUAAUGAGGUUUAAUCCAGUUUAUUUCAGUAUUUCCUUCAAGGAUUCCUUCAGAAGCUGCUUAAUUGCUUAUUAAAAGAGUUCCUUUAGAAAUUUUUCAAGGAGUUCAAUUAGGGAUCCUUCUAAGAGUUUCCUUCUGGGGUUCCACCAGGUAUUUCUGCAAGGGUUUAUUCAGGGAUUCCUUCAGGGAUUCGUCCAGGAUUUCCUUUAGAAAUUUCAUCAAGGAUCCUUCCAGAAUGUCCGCUGUGCUUCGUCAAGCGCUCACCAGGUGGUAGUAAACAAACUUCAAACAGGACUAACAACGAUACGAACGCUGUGAUUGCGCCAUAGACAAACUAGAGGGCUUGAAUUAGCCAUUAAUGGCUAGAUUCCACUUUGAGAGUACUGUUCAGAAAGAUAAGGCAAGCAAUGGUCAAGUGAUGAUUCCAUGAUGACAGUUCGUUUGGCUACAGUUGUCUUCGCUCCCGCGAGUCUAUGGUAUCUAUAGCGUCUAUAAUCCCAACAGAUUGUUUGUAUUUUUCAUUUAUAUUGUUAAUCGUUGGAAAAACGGGUCUCGUUCCAAUGUUUACCAUUUUUUUCAAUUUCUUACAAUUUCUUUUAGAAAUCAUGGAUGUUCAAUAUUUAUUUUUCCAGUUAUCAAUUUACUCACAUGGCGAACACUAUCAUUGACAUCCCCAUCCUGGCCACCUUCAGCGUUGGACUGGUUCGACAGAAUCCUUAUAUAACUGUUAUAAUUAUAAAUGUUUAUAAGUAAUAAAAAGAAUCGUGGGGUGGGGGUGCUCUGUUGUACUUAAAACAAAAAUCCGAAAAAUCAAAGGUAGGUUCACCACAGUUCGUAAGUGAUUCAUGCAUGUUUACUUUUUAAAUAAUGUUUUCUCCCACAACUUUGAAAUAAAUUAUAAGUGGUUCUUGCGUUUAAUUACAAAUAAUCAAAACUGGUUCACCAAGUUCUCCAAAGUCGCAAAGUGACGCAUUAUAACUUCUUUAAACUAUUUAUUUUUCCAAAAACUAUAAGUAGAUCAUGUUUAAGUCAUUCUUGCGUUUAAUCACAAUCAAAUCUGGUUCACCAAGUUCUCCCAAGUCGCGAGGUGACGCAUUACUACUUCUGUAAUCAAAUUAUGUUUCCAAAAACAUUGAAGUAGAUUAUAAGAGGUUCUUGCGCUUAAUCACAACCAAUCAAAUCUGGUUCACCAAAUUCUCCCAAGUCGCAUGGUGACGCAUUACUACUUCUCUAAACAAAUUAUUUUUCCUAAAACUUUGAACUAGAUUACAUUUAAGUGAUACUUGCGUUGAAUCACAAAUAAUCAAAUCUGGUUCACCAAGUUCUCCUAAGUCGCAUGGUGACGCACUAUUUACUAUUUAAUCUAAUUAGUUUUCCAAAAACUUUAAAGUAGAUCAUGUUUAAGUCAUUCUUGCGUUUAAUCACAAUCAAAUCUGGUUCAUCAAGUUCUCCCAAGUCGCAUGGUGACGAACUACUUACUACUUAAUCAAAUUAUCUUUUCAAAAACUUUAAAGUAGAUCAUGUUUAAGUCAUUCUUGCGUAUAAUCACAAUCAAACCUGGUUCACCAAGUUCUCCCAAGUCGCAUGGUGACGCACUACCUACUAUUUAAUCAAAUGAUUUUUCUUAAAACUUCAAAGUAGAUCAUGUUUAAGUCAUUCUUGCGUUUAAUAACAAUCAAAUC